rnacentral:misc_RNA from 1 species
CUACACUGGAGUCGCUGAGGCAUGAGACAGUGUUGUCAACUCCUCAUCCAAUAUACUGUGAAACUUUCUGUCUCACUCUCAUCGUGCUCGCAGUAGGUUGCUUGUUGUGGUGGUGGAGGAUUGGAAAGUGAGGCGAGAUGGACAAUGAUACUAUGCUCUCACUAUGAAUGAUCCUACCUCAGCAAGCUGAUCCAGUCGAAUUUAAUUGCAUGUGAUUCCCGUUAACAUCCAAAUCUGCAACUUGACGGGUAGCUAUUGAUUUCUGUGGACUCCAGCUUGUUAUUGCUGCACCGAGUUGUCUUCCUUACUUGGAUAACCACGGUCAUAUUUGUGAGAGUCGGAGAGACCGCCCGCUUCAUUAAUUAUUCAGGCCAUUACCUUAUCGUGGACUCCAGUAUUCCUCUGGUCUGAUCCAGCACUGUCCCCAGCGUGGUCCAGUUGGACAUUACUCUCUCUUGUCAUAGCCCUGGUGAACAAUUGGAUUUCAUAGCAGACAUCGACAUGUGGAUAACAUUCAAUUGAGAUAUAGUUUGGGAUGUACUGUUCUGUAGCUAGUUAGUGUAUGUGUUUGUGUGUUUUUGUGCAUUCCUAGGAGGGAUUUAUCCUAUCUUCCAAAUUGUGCAAUGGGUAACAAAUUACGUAAGCUGAAGAAUGAGUUGGUGGGAGGGGAUGAUACGGAAGCAGACGGCAACAACUUAGGGCCUAGUUCGGAGGCUCCUGCUGCCCAGUCUGCUCCCCCAGAGACAACUGGAACAGUGGAUGAUAAAAUUGAAGCUCCUGAAAGUGCUACCUGUAAGACUUCAACUGUUGUUAAACCUGUUGAAACAUCCUUGGAAAAACCUGCACCAACUACGACAGAAACUACAUCUCCCACCCCCACCCCUGCACCAACUCAAACUGUUAAUGAAACUACCGAGAGCCCAGAACAUGUGCAGGCUAAAGUAUCAGCCCAGGAUCCAAAGGAACAGGUGAAAGAGAAGCAGAAGUCGGCCACGCCCCCGAGUGAUGAGAAAGAUGAUGACAUGUCUAGCACACCCCCACAUCCCGCCAUGACGAAGCGGGCGAGGCGUGACGCAGUCAGCGCCGAGGUCUACAAAGAAGAAGAUGCUGCUCAGUAUGUCAAAAAGGUUGUACCCAAAGACUACAAAACAAUGGCGGCUCUGUCAAAAGCCAUCUCAAAAAACGUCCUGUUCUGUCAUCUGGAUGAUAACGAACGAAGUGAUAUUUUUGACGCCAUGUUUCCAGUCCACCGGCAUGCAGGAGAGGUGAUCAUCCAGCAAGGUGAUGAAGGCGACAACUUCUAUGUGCUUGAUCAAGGAGAGGUUGAUAUCUAUGUCAACAGCGAGCAUGUAACAACAAUAGGUGAGGGUGGUAGUUUCGGGGAGCUGGCCCUCAUCUAUGGAACACCCAGAGCAGCUACAGUCAAGGCCAAGAGUGAUGUGAAACUGUGGGGAAUAGACCGGGACAGCUACAGGAGGAUCCUCAUGGGAAGUACAAUCAGGAAAAGGAAGAUGUAUGAAGAAUUUCUUGGGAAAGUAUCAAUUCUUGAGAACCUGGACAAGUGGGAGCGUCUCACAGUCGCAGACGCCCUGGAGCCCGUCAUGUUCGAGGACGGAGAAGAAAUUGUACGGCAAGGGGAGCCAGGAGAAGACUUCUUCAUCAUUUUGGAGGGUCAGGCUGCGGUCUUACAAAGAAGAUCGGACAACGAAGAGCCAGUAGAAGUGGGCAGACUUGGGACAUCCGACUACUUCGGUGAGAUUGCUCUGUUACUGGACCGACCCAGAGCAGCAACCGUUGUCUCUCGAGGCCCUCUCAAAUGUGUCAAAAUGGAUCGUGGGCGCUUUGAGCGUGUCCUUGGACCCUGUGCCGACAUCCUGAAAAGAAAUAUCUCUCAGUACAACAGCUUCGUAUCUCUGUCAGUCUGAGGGCAGAGGUCACAGAUGCAUGCUGGGAUCUGUGUGUCGCUUCUGCGUCCCCAUCAGGCCGUUUUGCCGCCGUCUUGAAACGGUGGAACCAUGUACUAACAUUGAUGACUCGUCUCGUGUACUUAAACUCUCCUUUAAGACAGAUUGUUCCAUAAGGAACAGUGGUUAUGUGUUUUGGCCGAAGUGUUACAUUCUAAACGUGAUGGACUCCAGACUGCAGUUUUAUACCAAUGAUAUUAAUUCCAAAGAAUCCUACAAUAGUUACUGAUGUACUUCAGGAAACCUUUGGUCCUUGAUUACACUUUCUUUCAUCUGUUAUCUUUCAGUACUAUUUGUUGAAUGGUCAAAACCAAAUCUUUGUAUACUGUCUUUUUCCCAAUUCCAUUUCUACUAAACACCUGGCCAAUGAAAAGUCUUCUUUGCAUGGAAGGUAAAUUUUGAAAAGAGAAGUCUGCACACUGUCAGUACAAGUGGUUUUGAAUGAUUUGUCACAAUCAUGCAAUGUUUCGGAUUGCUUGGAUGGAGCACAGCCACCUCAGGGGUUAGAGUCUGGGUUUGAAUCUCAGCAAGGAUCUGCUUAUAAUCAAAUAUAUAAAGUAAUAAAUAUGAAAUUGUUUAUUAAAAAGAAUAUUUCUUAGAGGUUUUCCUUUAAGGGAGAUAAAUGUUCUUGGCCAGGUGUGAAAUAUGACAUCAGUUGUAAACCAGCAGCGGAGCAAGCAUACACAAUCAGUAAUAAUUUUCAUUAUAUGGGCAGCAGAGUUGCUUUUAGUUAUUGUACUCAAGUAUUAAUUUCAUGGUAAUGUUUGUAAUCAGAAACCCUGCUUGUCUUGUGUUUAUAGUGUGAAAUGCCAGCAUGAUCCAAAACUGUCAACCCGAUGUAGAUACAAAAUAUCUCCAAACCUCUUCCAAACAAUCAUGAUUUGUCCAAAUAGUGGUAACCACAUUUUAUCAAUAAAAAAAAGAGGGUAUUUAUUUGUUUUGCUGCUUCUAAUAUUUCAUAAAAUAUAUGAUAUAUCUUGUGAGUACGGGUUGUUAUGAAGGGAAAAACAAAAUAGAAAUUAAAACCAUGGCAGCUCCGUUAGGUAUGUCUCAGUUUGAUAUUGAAGUUAGUCUGUUGUGAAGGGUACCUGGUGAUGAACAAGCUAACACUGUCAGGAACUGGACACCACCACUGUCAUGGCGAUGGAUUGAACUACCACAUUACCCUACCAGUUGUGUUGUAUACCAGCUGUAAUAUGGCCUUACAUUUUUUACUAGGUUUACUGUUACAGCAACCUUGAAAAUAUUCAGAAAAAACAUACCUGAGAAUAACAAUUUAUUUUUGUAUUGGGAUGGUAAAGAUUUGCUUUGACAAUGAAAUUCUGCUGUCAGAUUUGAGAUUUGUAAUGUUCAUAAGGACCCAAACCUACGAAUCCAAAUGUGAUUAUAAAAUUGUUUGCAAACUGAAGGAAAAUUGUCUGUGCUUAAGGUUUAGAUCCCUGUGAAACUAACUGACAAAAUUACAAUUUAGAACAAAUUGUGAGUUUACUGAGCUAUAGUUCCAUCUGUCAUCAGUUCUGGGUCUCAGAACGCCAGACUCUUGGGUCACAUGAAUAGUACUCAUUUAAGUCCAUUUUGAAUUCCCACGCAAGGCCCAAUAAAGUAUAGUCCAGGUGUCCUUGGUCAUGCCAGCUACUGGCAGCUGGAGUCCAGGUAUCUGUGUAGGCAUCCAGGUACUGGGAGCUGGUGUCCAGGUACUGGCAGCUGGAAUCUAGGUACUCUGUGUAAGCGUCCAGGUACUCUGUGUAGAAGUGGGGUGACACUGUGGUAUUUUGUGUAUUGCUGUAAGAACAUGGCAUUAAUUGUACAAAUAUGACCCAAAUGAACCAGAUAUUGAACCAGAGACUUUAGCUGUGCUGCAAAAGAAUUGUUGGACUUAUUUUCAAGGUCUGGAUGGAGAAAUUAUGUCGACUAGUAUCUUGGCUUUUAUCUAUAUAUAAAUAUAUAAAAAGUAAAAUCUGAUAUUCCUAGUGUUGUAGCAGAUUCAGUAUUUGAGCCAGUACUUUAUUCCAAAAUAGGUCGUGAGUGAAAUGUUGCUACGCAACUAUAGUAAAUAUUGUUUAUCAGGCUGAAUCAGGAGCACUUGUAACAGGUCAAUUUGCUGCCUUGUGUAUUUAUUUUGUUAUUUAUUUUAUGUAGACGAGAUAUUAAACCACUUGUUUUCAAACUAGUCAUAGUUUGGUGUAUAGAAUAAAGCUGUUCUAGGUGGAUGAUAGUCAUUGGUUGUCAUGGUAACCUUGUUAUAUGAAAUGAUCAUGUUAUUCUUUUCAGUCCAUCUGUGAAUAUCAUAUUUCAGCUGCAAUAUUAAUUUUCAAAUAAUUACAGUUAUUGUAUACAUGUCAGGGAGAAGAUCAGUUCCAUAUUAAUGUUGAUGUGCUCCAAGCUGCUUCAAGCACACAUAUGCUGACAAGUGUAUAUAGAUAUACCACAAUGUACAGAUACAUGCGUAACUGCCACCACUUUUAGUCAGCUAUAAAAAUUCCCAUAUUUGGGAAAUGUGUUUGUUAUAAAUUUUGUAAAAACCUUGAAUUUUUGUUAAUUACAGGUCAUAUUUUGUUAUUGCUGUUUCUAAAGAAAGAACUUAUUUUGAAAAUUGCAAUACAUGUACAUGACAAACCAAUUCCUAGCUUUCAUAAUGCUUGGUGUAUAGGAAAAUAUUACAGGCCGUUUGAUAUUUCAAACAUUGAGUGUAGCACAUGUAUUCAAACGGAAGGCUUGGUAGCAAUCAUGGUCAGUCCAGGUACUUGUAUUCAUGGCAUAUUUUGCUUAUAUAGCUGGAUAUCUCGUAAUCUUUCAUGUCAGAACUUUUGUCUUUAAAUAUGGUUAUCUUGAACAGAUCUCACAUUAUUUCAACAUAAAUGGGCCAAAUAUUCUGAAAAGGGGGAUAGUUUAACCAUGUGUAUCUUCUGUCUUGGAGGUGUUGGGGUAGCUCAGAUCCUUUGUUACAUUUUGUUAUGAAUUUUAUUAGUACUUUACUACAUCUUCUUUUUUUAAAAAUGUAAACAAUUGCGUUAUGCACAGAAACCGCUAUUCAACUAGAAGUGUUGACAAUAGCCUCAAGUAGGACAAUAGGGCUCUACAAAGAAGUCAGCUGUAUUCAAGAGAUCACUCAUUGUUUGUUUUAUCUGUGAUGACACUGUAUAUAUACUACCCAAAGGAAAUUAAGGAACAUCCUAUUUUUUCAUAUGACUAUAGUGAAUGCAUCAUGGCUGGUUGACACUGCAACCAUAGCCUUCCAAUUAUAGGUGUUGUUUAAUUUGUUUUGAGUCAUAAUGGAGACCUUGGCCUCCAGAAGGGUUUGUAUAUUUUAAAAUGUCAUCAUACACAAGAAUAGAAUAUAGAUUUUAGUCUCGCUCCGCCUCGGCCCCGCCCUUCUUCCCCACCCCCUUCUGCUGACUGUGAACAUACAGCUGUGUGCAUGUACGUAUGUGUUAACCAUGUGGCCCCAACCCUGGAUAGGCCAGACAGUAUGUGUGGCCCUAACCCAGGAUAGGCCAGACAGUAUUUGUUAUCUAACAGAGUGGAUAUGUUUAUGUGCUUUGCUGGCAACUAACCAUUGUAUGAUGACUUUAGAUAGCUGAGACCUGUUGUAGUUGUAGCCAAUCACAGGGCUGGUUAGAUCUGUUUUAACCAAUCAGGUUGGCCAAUAUGUACAACGUUUGGUUCAGGUUAAACAGGUGUAUUUUACAAGUGUCACAGAUCGUUGUUCUGUAUAGAUCAAACCAAGCUAAAACAACAUACCUGAAUAAAUGAUAAUUUAUGCCCUGUU